GAUGAACGCUGGCGGCGUGCCUAAUACAUGCAAGUCGAGCGAACAGACGAGGAGCUUGCUCCUCUGACGUUAGCGGCGGACGGGUGAGUAACACGUGGAUAACCUACCUAUAAGACUGGGAUAACUUCGGGAAACCGGAGCUAAUACCGGAUAAUAUAUUGAACCGCAUGGUUCAAUAGUUAAAGAAGGUUUUGCUGUCACUUAUAGAUGGAUCCGCGCCGCAUUAGCUAGUUGGUAAGGUAACGGCUUACCAAGGCAACGAUGCGUAGCCGACCUGAGAGGGGGAUCGGCCACACUGGAACUGGGACACGUCCCAGACCCCUACGGGAGGCAGCAGUAGGGAAUCUUCCGCAAUGGGCGAAAGCCUGACGGAGCAACGCCGCGUGAGGGAUGAAGGUCUUCGGAUCGUAAAACUCUGUUAUUAGGGAAGAACAAAUGUGUAAGUAACUAUGCACGUCUUGACGGUACCUAAUCAGAAAGCCACGGCUAACUACGUG
rnacentral:rRNA from 1 species